UGUAGGGUGCCUGAACAAAGGGUUAUUUUGAUAAAAUAAUUUACGCAGAGAGCCUGUCCUUACAC
rnacentral:tRNA from 1 species